UUUCUGAGAUACCUAUCCAUAACACAAUGGUUUGAGGAUCUGAAUGAUGUAAUGUCAAAUAAUCCAAAUUUAGAGACAUUUGUUGUUUCCGGUAAUGGAGCACCAACGGUCCAUUUGCCAUCCAGUGUUUGGAAGCCACCAUACUUAAAGCAUCUCGAACUUGGAAAUUCAUAUAUGGUAGAUCCUCCAUGUGCAGAUAAAACGAAUUUACAAACAUUAUCUUGGGUGGUGAGACCACUUCAUUGCAGAAAACAGGUGUACAGCAAGUUCCCUGACAUAAAAAAUCUGAAAAUUUUGCUGAAGGAUGACAUAGAGUCCAGUCACAUUGGAGGAAGGUGCAGCAAUCCUAUUAUUUUGGAUCAUUUUGACUAUUUGAAAGCGGUUGAGAAGCUUAGCAUUUCGGUUUCUAUUGGUUGCAAUGCUGCCCUUCCAGAACAGUGUAUGUAUCCUUCAGGACUGGAGAAGUUGAAGUUGAGUGGGACUAAUAUUUCUGAGAGGGAUUUAAAUGUAAUUGCCAUGUUACCCCAGCUUAAGGUGCUCAAGUUGGAAAAUGCCUUCCAUGGAACAGUAUGGGAAGUAGCUGAAGGAGGAUUUCGUCAAUUAACAUUCUUGCUCCUUGAAGCUAAAGAACUCAAGCAGUGGGUAGCUAACUUCCGUGAACACUUUAAGGAGCUCCGAAACUUAGUCUUAAGAUCUUGUAAUUGUUUGGAACAGAUGCCAAAGGGUUUUACAGGUUACAAGUUGGAGUCAAUUGAGUUGGAGGGGUGUCACUCUUCCCUUGUUGCUUCUGCCAUGCAGUUACAACAGAAGAGAAGAUCCAAGGAUCUUGAGAUCAAAAUUUUGGACCCUAAAUACGAUGAAUCACUAAAUACACAUACACAUACAGAGGUGUCUAUGUAAGAUGACUUGGGCAGCCUCAUAGGAUAUACCUAUUAGAAAAUGAGUAUCCAGAAGUUGGUAAUAGAUGGUACUAAAACAUGGGCUCAAGAGCUUUCUGUCAAACACAGUGGUUGACUUUUUAUCACCAAACAUUGUGAAACAGAUCUAAUUUUGAUGUUCCGUACGUCUUUUUGAAGAAAUCAUGUUGGUGACUGGGGCAAGCUGCCUGCCAAGCAGAUUGGUAUAUGCUAAUUGAAUACCAUUUUGAAAAAUUGUCAAGCUAGGAAGCUGGCUGGAAGCUGCUAGUCUCAAGUAUUGAAGAUCUAGAGUGUAAACAGGGUAGUGAGGAGAGUUUGAAAAGGUUUACCAGUGACUUGGAGAAUGGCUUCUAUGGAAAAGUAUGGAAGAGUUGCUUUGGUGUUUAACAGACAUUUUGAGCCUGCGGUCAAUUAAGUUGGAUCAGUUGUUGCUUUUGCUAAGCAGAUUUGAGACUGGCAAGUUGAAAUGGGGAACUGCAUUUUUGAGAUCAAAAUCCCUGAAUAUGAUGGAUCACAGAUAGAAGAGUCUGUACUAGGCGACUUGAAUUGGUCUGGCUCACAGUGAAUUAAAAUGAUAAUUGAAGGUUACAAAUGAUAAUUGCUCUUGAUUGACAAACAAAGUUUUAAUGGAAAAAUCAAGACUUGAAGAAUGUAUAGUGAUUUGAGGGGAUUUAGUUUUUCUAAGAUACCUAUCCAUAACACAAUGGUUUGAGGGUAUGGAUGAUGUAGUGUCAAAUAAUCCAAAUUUACAAACACUUGGGGUUGCUUUUAACAAUGAAUCACAAUUUGGAGCCACAACUGUGCAUUUACCAUCCAGUAUUUCGGAGGCACCACGGUUGAGGCAUCUUGAUCUUGACAAUAUGUGGAUCCUCCAAGCAUGGUUAAAGAGAAUUUGCAAUCAUUAUCUUGGAUGGUCAGACCAAUUCAUUGCAGAAGAGAGGUGUAUCACAACUUACCUAACAUAAAAAAAAAAAAAAAAAAAAAAAAAAAAAAAAA